GCCAAUGUAGCUCAGCGGUAGAGCACUUCCAUGGUAAGGAAGGGGUCCGGGGUUCAAUCCCCCGCAUUGGCUCCA
rnacentral:tRNA from 1 species